rnacentral:misc_RNA from 1 species
GAUGAAGAACGCAGCGAAAUGCGAUACUUGGUGUGAAUUGCAGAAUCCCGUGAACCAUCGAGUCUUUGAACGCAAGUUGCGCCCGAAGCCAUUAGGCCGAGGGCACGCCUGCCUGGGCGUCACACGUCGUUGCCCCCCCAUCAACUCCUUCGGGAUUGCGGGGGGCGGAUGAUGGCCUCCCGUGCGCCUCGUCGCGCGGUUGGCAUAAAUGCCAAGUCCUCGGCGACGCACGCCACGACAAUCGGUGGUUGCGAAACCUCGGUUGCCCGUCGUGUGCGGUCGUCGCGCAUCGAGGGCUCGAAAAAAUUGCCGGGCUCCGGCUCGGCUUUCAACGCGACCCCAGGUCAGGCGGGGUUACCCGCUGAAUUUAAGCAUAUCAAUAAGCGGAGGA